rnacentral:rRNA from 2 species
UACGAAGGGGGCUAGCGUUGUUCGGAAUUACUGGGCGUAAAGCGCACGUAGGCGGAUAUUUAAGUCAGGGGUGAAAUCCCGGAGCUCAACUCCGGAACUGCCUUUGAUACUGGAUAUCUAGAGACCGAGAGAGGUAAGUGGAACUCCUAGUGUAGAGGUGGAAUUCGUAGAUAUUAGGAAGAACACCAGUGGCGAAGGCGGCUUACUGGCUCGGAACUGACGCUGAGGUGCGAAAGCGUGGGGAGCAAACAGG